GAAGGUAUAGUUCAGUGGUGGAGCAUGUGCUUAGCAUGCAUAAGGUCCUGGGUUUAAUCCUCAGUGCCUCCA
rnacentral:tRNA from 1 species